rfam:Gossypium raimondii Chr11_contig_937, whole genome shotgun sequence.
UAUUAAAAAAUUCAUUCAUUUCUAUUGUUAAAAUUGGUGAAGUUGACAGAAUAACCAAACAGUUACACAUGGUGUGCCAUGUGUGCCUCGUUUUGACAUACAAGGACCAAUUUUUAACAGUAGAUUGGAUGAAAUUUUAAAUA